rnacentral:rRNA from 1 species
UACAGAGGUGGCAAGCGUUGUUCGGAAUUACUGGGCGUAAAGGGCGCGUAGGCGGCCUUCUAAGUCAGACGUGAAAUCCCCCGGCUUAACCUGGGAACUGCGUCUGAUACUGGGGGGCUUGAGUAUGGGAGAGGGAUGUAGAAUUCCAGGUGUAGCGGUGAAAUGCGUAGAUAUCUGGAGGAACACCGGUGGCGAAGGCGGCAUCCUGGACCAACACUGACGCUGAGUGAGCGAAAGCCAGGGGAGCAAACGGG